AUGUGCGAUCAUACCAGCGUUAAUGCACCGUAUCCCAUCAAAACUCUGUAGUUAAGCAUGCUUGGGCUAGAGUAUUACUGGGAUGGGUGACAUCCUGGGAAGUCCUAAUGUUGCACCCC
rfam:Picea glauca, whole genome shotgun sequence.